CUCUCUACCUUCAUUCUCUCUCACUUCUCUCUACACGCACACACUCUCUCAAGAACCAAGCUCCGACGACCUGGCGGCGGAGCCGCAACAAUGCUGGCGGUCAACAAUUUUCCGAAGAACUUUCUCGCAACCGUUUUUCGGCCAAGACUACACUUUUCCAACUAAUUUAGGUAUUCCGAACACCAUCAUGAAGCCCCUUUUCUAUGAUUUGAAGCGGUUAAGAAGAUAUACCAACCCAUACGCAAUUCUGGCUUUUUUAAGUUUUCUCUUCAUGCAUAUCAAGAUCGGGCCUUGGGGAUCAUCCACACAAGUUUUCAGGUUAAUCUAUUUUCCGGUGAAUUCCGGCAAUGGCUGAGUUGCCGCCCUUUUGGAAUCAAGAUGAGUUCGAUGAAUCUAUUCUAUUAAAGUGUGUUGCAACCAUAGCUGGUCUACUGGGACAAUUUCUGGACAGCCCAGACUUAGUUGGUAGCCACGAAUUCGUGAAUAUGACGGACAUCCGUUAUCAAAACAUAAAGAUCUCCCUAACCAUGGUUAUAGAAAAUAUAAGGAGUAUGCAUAACUAUUUGCAUACAUAUUACAAUGGGUUCUUGAGGGCUAUUGACGAGAAGAUAAUGCACUUAAGCUGUUCUGGUAUUGAUGAAUCUGAUUACAUCACAUGAUUCGAUAUGACAUUUUAUCCACUACUGCAGUGAGAGGCUCUUUGGUAGCCAGGAUGGUCAGUUAUCAAGAGUUGACACAAGAAAUAUACCAUUCAUAUAAGGUGGAGAUAUAUCAAGUAAUCCAAUGGCUUGCCAACCGUAACGAUGCAUAUAAAAGGUUGAUCUUGGACUACCACGAGGGCAGUAGGAAGGCGAAGAGAGUGCAAAGGCUCGAGAGACUGCAGAAUAAUUACCAACUCGCAAUUAUCGCAGGUCUUGUUAACGCCCUUAAUGAUGCAGAAGAGCAGCUGCAAGCGUAAGCUAACAUUGCAGUUGCUAAAAUAAUAGCGGACUCAAUUUCAACUAUCCGUAAAAAAAAAUCCUAUAUCUGUCGUUAUGGGGUCCAUUGGAUUAUUUAAAAAUGCUUAACUGAUACAAUCAACAUCCUUAAUAUCACUGUUCUUUAUGAAAAGAGUCACAAGGAGUCUAUAGCAUGGAAUAAUCUUCUUAAAUGUAAAGGCAGAAACCAAAUAUUUGCCGGAACCAUGAUUUACAACUCUGAGAUCAACCUGAAAGCUCGGUGCAUCCGAGAAAAAGUCGAUAUAAAAAGAGUUCAAAAAUGUCGUCUAGAUGCGUCUGUUCGGAAACGCAUCGAGCAGGUUACGAAUGGAUUGAACUCAGUUGUUGCCAUAUGUGAACGCCUCGGAAUUUGUGAAGAUGCGAUGAAGAUUUUUCUCAACAAAUGCUCACAGCUGAGGAUCAUGGAAGAACAGGUUCAAACGGAGAUGUUGGAUCUGCUAAAUUCAUUGAACGAUUCAAGGGUAGGGUGAUAUAUUAUGAACAACUUGUUACAUGUACUUUGAAGCUUGAUGCUAGUUUGAAACUUGAUUCAUAUCGGGUUCCACACAGGUUAUAGAUAUAGAUAUACUUAGAAAA